rnacentral:rRNA from 1 species
ACGGAGGGUGCAAGCGUUAAUCGGAAUUACUGGGCGUAAAGCGCGCGUAGGCGGCUUGUUAAGCCAGAUGUGAAAGCCCCGGGCUCAACCUGGGAACUGCAUUUGGAACUGACUCGCUAGAGUACAGUAGAGGGUGGUGGAAUUUCCAGUGUAGCGGUGAAAUGCGUAGAGAUUGGAAGGAACAUCAGUGGCGAAGGCGGCCACCUGGACUGAUACUGACGCUGAGGUGCGAAAGCGUGGGGAGCAAACAGG